rnacentral:lncRNA from 1 species
GCUACAGGAGCACUAACGGAUUCUUGCCCUUCCCCUAAUCGAGAGUAAACACAAAACCCCCAUUAAAACACUAGCCAGGAAAUAUUAAGAUCAUAUUAAUAAAAGACUUGCCGAACGAACGCAGUCAAAAGUUGCACAAAAGGAGGUGAAUUUGGAAAACCGAAAAUGAGAGAAAGAGACGAAAAUUGAACAGGGGAGAAAAGGGAAUAGGAAACGUCAAAUAUGGAAAAGAGGAAUUUUGGGAAAAAUAAAAUAAAAUGAAAAAAAGUUAAAAGGAAUAAAAUAAAAUCUUUUUAAAAUCCAAAAAUCCUACUAAUAUCCAAACUCCCCACAUAUCCACAUCCAACUACCCUAAAAUUCUAGCUCCACCGAAACUCUAUUAGUCAACUGAGCAAAAAUUAACACCCAUGCUAAUACAUAAAUUUGAACAC